UGACCAAUUGAAAGGAUUUAUAUGCAAAAUAAAACAGAUGAUACCAGCCGGUGAUGGCACGCUGAUCAACUCAACCUUCGCGUAAUCAUCAUCACAAGCAUCAGUUAUCGCAGUAAAACGCCAGUGAGGAAUUUAAUAAAAAAUAUUGAAAUGCGGAAUAUACGAAUGUACCUACAUAUGUACAUAUGCAUAUAACACUCGAAAUGCCAAAGGCUCACAAAAAGGACAAUUGGUUGUACAGGCUUUGACAAACUUAUGCAUGGAGCGUUACUCAGUUGAACAACUCGUAAAAGUUAUCCAAACGUUGAUGCCGACUUGAAAAAAAACAAUAAUUAAUAGCGAUGAGCCGCAUUUUCACCUAAACGGAUACGUUGACAAGCAAAACUGCCACCACUUCAAGAAAAAACAAA